rnacentral:tRNA from 1 species
AUCUAAAUAGUUUAAGAAAAAUAUUGAUUUGUGAUAUCAAAGUUAUAAUUUUAUUUUAGAUU